UUUUUUUUUAAUCCGACCGGCCAAAAGCCAUUUUCACGAUCUACUGAUCUUCAUGUUUAAUAACAAGUGUGGUAAUACACGGCUCCUCUUUCCCUCCAGCAAGUGCUCUAGAAAACUUAAAGGAAUCGUGGCCUUGUCGAUUCAUCCCAAGCCACCUGCAGAAGCAAAGACAUAAACGUUCUGUGAAGGUUUUGUAAACUUCUCAAAGUGGUUCGCCCAUAAUGGAUCCCAGGCGCAGCACGUCACAUCCAAG
rnacentral:lncRNA from 1 species